rnacentral:rRNA from 1 species
GAUGAACGCUGGCGGCGUGCCUAAUACAUGCAAGUCGAGCGAACAGACGAGGAGCUUGCUCCUCUGACGUUAGCGGCGGACGGGUGAGUAACACGUGGAUAACCUACCUAUAAGACUGGGAUAACUUCGGGAAACCGGAGCUAAUACCGGAUAAUAUAUUGAACCGCAUGGUUCAAUAGUGAAAGACGGUUUUGCUGUCACUUAUAGAUGGAUCCGCGCCGCAUUAGCUAGUUGGUAAGGUAACGGCUUACCAAGGCAACGAUGCGUAGCCGACCUGAGAGGGGUAUCGGCCACACUGGAACUGAAACACGGUCCAGACCCCGACGGGAGGAAGAAGUAGGGAAUUUUCCGCAAUGGGGGAAAGCCUGACGGAGCAACGCCGGGGGGGUGAUGAAGUUCUGCGGAUCGUAAACCUCUUUUAUUGGGGAAGAACAAAUGUGAAAGUAACUAUCCCCGUUUGGACGGGACCAAACCAAAAAGCCACGGCAAACUACGU